ACGGGGGAUGCGAGCGUUAUCCGGAUUCAUUGGGUUUAAAGGGUGCGUAGGCUGUGCGUCAAGUCGGGGGUGAAAUUCCGGUGCUCAACACCGGGGCUGCCCUUGAUACUGUCGCGCUGGAGUGCGGAUGCCGCCGGAGGAAUGAGUGGUGUAGCGGUGAAAUGCUUAGAUAUCACUCAGAACACCGAUUGCGAAGGCAUCUGGCGAAUCCGUAACUGACGCUGAGGCACGAAAGCGUGGGGAUAGAACAGGAUUAGAUACCCUGGUAUUCCACGCCGUAAACGAUGAUGGCUAACCGCCGGCGACACACUGUCGGUGGCCAAGCGAAAGCGAUAAGCCAUCCACCUGGGGAGUACGUCGGCAACGAUGAAACUCAAAGGAAUUGACGGGGGCCCGCACAAGCGGAGGAACAUGUGGUUUAAUUCGAUGAUACGCGAGGAACCUUACCCGGGCUCGAACGGCACCUGGAUCGCCCAGAGAUGGGCGAGUCUUCGGACAGGUGUCGAGGUGCUGCAUGGUUGUCGUCAGCUCGUGCCGUGAGGGGUCGGCUCAAGUGCCAUAACGAGCGCAACCCUUGCCGCCUUAGUUGCCAUCAGGUGAUGCUGGGCACUCUGGCGGGACUGCCACCGCAAGGUGUGAGGAGGGGGGGGAUGACGUCAAAUCAGCACGGCCCUUACGUCCGGGGCGACACACGUGUUACAAUGGCGGCCACAGAGGGAAGCUACCCCGCGAGGGGAUGCGGAUCUCGAAAAGCCGUCCCAGUUCGGACUGGAGUCUGCAACCCGACUCCACGAAGUUGGAUUCGCUAGUAAUCGCGCAUCAGCCAUGGCGCGGUGAAUACGUUCCCGGGCCUUGUACACACCGCCCGUCAAGCCAUGGAAGCCGCGGGCGCCUGAAGUCCGUGACCGGAAGGAGCGGCCUAGGGCGAAAGUGGUAACUGGGGCUAAGUCGUAACAAGGUAGCCGUACCGGAAGGUGUGGCUG
rnacentral:rRNA from 1 species